CCAUCCAAGUACUAACCAGACCAAUUCUGCUUAGCUUCCGGGAUCAGACAAGAUGGGGCACUUUCAGG
rnacentral:sRNA from 1 species